rnacentral:rRNA from 1 species
GCAACGAGCGCAACCCUUGUCUUUAGUUGCCAUCAUUAAGUUGGGCACUCUAAAGAGACUGCCGGUGUCAAACCGGAGGAAGGUGGGGAUGACGUCAAGUCCUCAUGGCCUUUAUGACCAGGGCUACACACGUACUACAAUGGCAGGUACAAAGGGCAGCCACUUAGCGAUAAGGCGCGAAUCCCGUAAAACCUGUCUCAGUCCGGAUUGGAGUCUGCAACUCGACUCCAUGAAGUUGGAAUCGCUAGUAAUCGCAGAUCAGCACGCUGCGGUGAAUACGUUCCCGGGCCUU